AUGUGUUGGGGUUUUUUGCUCAAGGAAAACCUAAUUUUCAAACUGAUAAAUUUACCUAAUUUAUUUUGUUUACAGCUUAAUAGUACUUUUCAUCUAAACACUUCCCUAUCCAGACGUUUUAUUUCUGAGAUUGCUCAGAGUUGCGCAGCAGUGGACCCAGUGCUGCUGAGGCUGAUGGCUACAUCACCUCCUGAAGUCAGUUUAAAUGCAGACAGAUGUGUCCUACAGAUCACCAGCUGUGUAGAAGUGUUUGCUGUUCUGCCAAAUUCAACCACCCAGUACAUCAUUGCAGGGAAUCUAACAGCCAGUACCAGAGCCAAUUUGAGUAUAAGCAAACAGAAGUUGAUUAUCUCAUUACUUCUGAAGAGGUUCCAGUUCUCCCUGCUGCACCCCAGUCUUUGCUUCCCUGAUGUAAGUUGA
rnacentral:lncRNA from 1 species